CUUGAUGCUGUUGACGUGGUCGGGACUCUGUUCACGUGACUGUUGUUAACAUGACGCGUAUAACUGCGCUGUGGCGGGACAUGACAGCUCACAGCUCCUCAGAAGCUCCGUGCACCGUGAGCUGUCCAGUGAGGGGAUGGUUUCAUGAUCAAAUCUUCAUUUACUGUCCACAUUAUCAGAUGAGGACGUCACCAAAGAGUGUCCUUUGAGUCAAUGUUUACAUUUAUGUACAGAUAAUUAAGAACAAUUAGUUAAUUGUAAAAUGCUAAUUAUUUUCUCCUGCCACCUUUCAGACAUUAUAAUCCAACUUGGAUGGAACAACUUCGUGACCUUAAUGACACCCAGCAACACGAUGUUUUUUUCUUUAUUUGUGUUAGAGCUAGAGAGACACACAAGCACCACAGGGGAGGAUCUGCAGCAAAGGGACCACCGGAAAUCAAACCUUGGCCGCCAUGAUGACGACAUGUGGCACUUGAGUGUGAAUCUAGCCUUUUCAUUUUUAUUUACAACAUUAGCAUUGAAAAGAGCAAAAGUUGAUGCUUGAGAUGAUUUUGUUUUUACUGAAGAGGAUGUAUGUCCUCCCUUUGUCCUUUAUCCCCUUACUCUUUCUUUUUAGGUGUGACUACGACUACCAGCAUGAACCUCAACACCUUCUUUGCUGUUCCACUAGUGUGACCCAUGAUCGGAUACAAGUUGUCAAGGAUAAACGGGAAGAGAAUCAUGUCAGCCCACAGACAACCGGUUGACCUGUGAGUCUUCAAGCAGUAAUGAUGACUACUCCUGCCUUAAGUUCCAGUUUCCUGAACAUCAUGUCGGCAUGAGAUUCUGUCCCCACCUAUCUUCAGUCUGGACCCAAUGAGUUUUUUUUUUUUACAGUGCGUUUACAGUCACAUGGUUUUUUUUCGAGGCUUUGUCUGAGUUUCAGUGCUGCAGUUAUUUACCAUUCAGGGUUGUUCAGAAACAUCCAAUUUGUCAUUCUCAUUUGAAGGGCUUGCUGCUGUGAUUCUUUUGUGUACACCAGGAUUUCUUUGUAUUUUGGCAUUUUACACAAAUGUUUUUGAAAGAUGGUCAACAAAGUUGCACAAAUAAAUGUUUAACUGCU